GAUGAACGCUGGCGGCGUGCCUAAUACAUGCAAGUCGAGCGAACGGACGAGAAGCUUGCUUCUCUGAUGUUAGCGGCGGACGGGUGAGUAACACGUGGAUAACCUACCUAUAAUACUGGUAUAACUUCGGGAAACCGUAUCUAAUACCGGCUAAUAUUUUGAACCGCUUUGUUCAAAAGUGAAAGACGGUCUUGCUGUCUCUUCUAGAUGUAUCCGCGCUGCAUUAGCUAGUUGGUAAGGUAACGGCUUACCAAGGCAACGAUGCAUAGCCGACCUGAGAGGGUGAUCGGAGACACUGGAACUGAGACACGGUACAGAGUACGACGGGAGGCAGCAGUAGGGAAUAUUACGCAAUGGGCGAAAGCAUGACGGAGCAACGCCGAGUGAGUGAUGAAGGUCUUCGGAUCGUAAAACUCUGUUAUUAGGGAAGAAAAAAUGUGUAAGUAACUGUGCACAUAUUGACGGUAACUAAUCAGAAAGCCACGGCUAACUACGUG
rnacentral:rRNA from 1 species